rnacentral:rRNA from 1 species
UACGUAGGGGGCUAGCGUUGUCCGGAUUUAUUGGGCGUAAAGAGCGUGUAGGCGGCCAGGUAGGUCUGCUGUGAAAACUCGAGGCUCAACCUCGAGACGUCGGCGGAAACCAUCUGGCUAGAGUCCGGAAGAGGAGAGUGGAAUUCCUGGUGUAGCGGUGAAAUGCGCAGAUAUCAGGAAGAACACCGGUGGCGAAGGCGGGACCCUGGGACAGUACUGACGCUGAGGAGCGAAAGCGUGGGGAGCAAACAGG